GAGGGUAUAGCUCAGUGGUUAAGCACCUGCCUCUCACGUAGGAGGUUCUGGGUUCAAUCCUCAGUACCUCCU
rnacentral:tRNA from 1 species